rnacentral:rRNA from 1 species
CACGUAGGGCGCAAGCGUUGUCCGGAAUCAUUGGGCGUAAAGCGCGUGUAGGCGGUCCGGUAAGUCCGCUGUGAAAGUCGAGGGCUCAACCCUCGAAUGCCGGUGGAUACUGUCGGGCUUGAGUACGGGAGAGGCGAGUGGAAUUCCUGGUGUAGCGGUGAAAUGCGCAGAUAUCAGGAGGAACACCGAUUGCGAAGGCAGCUCGCUGGAACGUUACUGACGCUGAGACGCGAAAGCGUGGGGAGCAAACAGG